UGUUACAACCACAAGGUGCUAUAACCAGAUGGUAACAAUGUUACAACCACAAGGUACUAUAACCAGAUGGUAACACUGUUACAACCACAAGGUGUUAUAACCAGAUGGUAACACUGUUACAACCACAAGGUGCUAUAACCAGAUGGUAACAAUGUUACAACCACAAGGUGCUAUAACCAGAUGGUAACACUGUUACAACCACAAUUUGCUAUAACCAGAUGGCAACACUGUUACAACCACAAGGUGCUAUAACCAGAUGGCAACACUGUUACAACCACAAGGUGCUAUAACCAGAUGGUAACACUGUUACAACCACAAGGUGUUAUAACCAGAUGGUAACACUGUCACAACCACAAGGUGUUAUAACCAGAUGGCAACACUGUUACAACCACAAGGUGUUAUAACCAGAUGGUAACACUGUUACAACCACAAGGUGCUAUAACCAGAUGGUAACACUGUUACAACCACAAGGUGUUAUAACCAGAUGGUAACACUGUCACAACCACAAGGUGUUAUAACCAGAUGGCAACACUGUUACAACCACAAGGUGCUAUAACCAGAUGGUAACAAUGUCACAACCACAAGGUGUUAUAACCAGAUGGCAACACUGUUACAACCACAAGGUGUUAUAACCAGAUGGCAACACUGUUACAACCACAAGGUGCUAUAACCAGAUGGCAACACUGUUACAACCACAAGGUGCUAUAACCAGAUGGCAACACUGUUACAACCACAAGGUGCUAUAACCAGAUGGCAACACUGUUACAACCACAAGGUGCUAUAACCAGAUGGUAACACUGUUACAACCACAAGGUGCUAUAACCAGAUGGCAACACUGUUACAACCACAAGGUAACACUGUUACAACCACAAGGUGCUAUAACCAGAUGGUAACACUGUUACAACCACAAGGUGUUAUAACCAGAUGGUAACACUGUUACAACCACAAGGUGCUAUAACCAGAUGGUAACACUGUUACAACCACAAGGUGCUAUAACCAGAUGGUAACACUGUUACAACCACAAGGUGCUAUAACCAGAUGGCAACACUGUUACAACCACAAGGUGCUAUAACCAGAUGGCAACACUGUUACAACCACAAGGUGCUAUAACCAGAUGGUAACACUGUUACAACCACAAGGUGCUAUAACCAGAUGGUAACACUGUUACAACCACAAUUUGCUAUAACCAGAUGGCAACACUGUUACAACCACAAGGUGCUAUAACCAGAUGGCAACACUGUUACAACCACAAGGUGCUAUAACCAGAUGGUAACACUGUUACAACCACAAGGUGCUAUAACCAGAUGGUAACACUGUUACAACCACAAUUUGCUAUAACCAGAUGGCAACACUGUUACAACCACAAGGUGCUAUAACCAGAUGGCAACACUGUUACAACCACAAGGUGCUAUAACCAGAUGGUAACACUGUUACAACCACAAUGUGCUAUAACCAGAUGGCAACACUGUUACAACCACAAGGUGCUAUAACCAGAUGGUAACACUGUUACAACCACAAGGUGCUAUAACCAGAUGGCAACACUGUUACAACCACAAGGUGCUAUAACCAGAUGGCAACACUGUUACAACCACAAGGUGCUAUAACCAGAUGGCAACACUGUUACAACCACAAGGUGCUAUAACCAGAUGGCAACACUGUUACAACCACAAGGUGCUAUAACCAGAUGGUAACACUGU